rnacentral:rRNA from 1 species
CAGCCGCCGCGGUAAUACCGGCCCCGCGAGUGGUCGGGGUGAUUAUUGGGCCUAAAGCGCCCGUAGCCGGCCCGGUAAGUCUCCCCUAAAAUCCCCGGGCUCAACCCGGGGAUUGGGGGAGAUACUGCCGGGCUAGGGGGCGGGAGAGGCCGAGGGUACUCCCGGGGUAGGGGCGAAAUCCGUUAAUCCCGGGAGGACCACCCGUGGCGAAGGCGCUCGGCUGGAACGCGCCCGACGGUGAGGGGCGAAAGCCGGGGGAGCGAACCGGAUUAGAUACCCGGGUAGUCCCGGCUGUAAACGAUGCGGGCUAGCUGUGGGGUGGGCUUAGAGCCCACCCAGUGGCGCGGGGAAGCCGUUAAGCCCGCCGCCUGGGGAGUACGGCCGCAAGGCUGAAACUUAAAGGAAUUGGCGGG